UACGUAGGGGGCUAGCGUUAUCCGGAAUUACUGGGCGUAAAGGGUGCGUAGGUGGUUUCUUAAGUCAGAGGUGAAAGGCUACGGCUCAACCGUAGUAAGCCUUUGAAACCGGGGAACUUGAGUGCAGGAGAGGAGAGUGGAAUUCCUAGUGUAGCGGUGAAAUGCGUAGAUAUUAGGAGGAACACCAGUUGCGAAGGCGGCUCUCUGGACUGUAACUGACACUGAGGCACGAAAGCGUGGGGAGCAAACAGGAUUAGAUACCCUGGUAGUCCCUGAGCGGG
rnacentral:rRNA from 1 species